UAACACCGCCUGUUGUUAAAACACUAUAUAGUACAGGGUUGGAUCAUGGUGUUAAACAUAUUUAACGACGGAUAGUGUGUUCUCUCAAUCCGGGUACUUUUACGUGAUGUGCGUGAAAUUAUUUAGAUCUCCGCCAUCUUUUUUAUGCAACCAUCAGUCUUGAGAGACCGCAGUCCGUGACGCAUGUUCUCCGUCAAGUCUCCGUCUAACGGAAGCAGUCCGUCUUGCAGCAAGUGUGAUCGCUUGGCCUCGCCCUCGACAGACUGCAGUCAGUGAGUGACGCACUAUCUCAGUGUCACCUAAGCAGCCAUCAGUCCCCGCAGGUUUCGACCGUGUGGUCUCGACAGACCGCGUGACUCACGUGUUCUUCUGCUCCGUGCGGAAGCAGCCAUCUUGUGUGGCCUCGACAACGACUGCAUGCAGGCUCUUGCUCUUCUCUUCAGCUGAAGAUGAUAGUCAAAGUGCAAUACCGAAACCAAAAGAAGUACAUCAAAAUUCCAGAAGCUUGUUUUGGCAUCUUCAUCACUGAAGGCAAGUAUAUGAACUGCAUAUGAAUCAGAAUACCUUUAUUAGUCCCACAGAGGGGAAUUUUGCGAUC